CCUACGGGGGGCAGCAGUGCGGAAUAUUGGUCAAUGGGCGCGAGCCUGAACCAGCCAAGUAGCGUGAAGGAUGACUGCCCUACGGGUUGUAACCUUCUUUUAUAAAGGAAUAAAGUGAGGCACGUGUGCCUUUUUGUAUGUACUUUAUGAAUAAGGAUCGUCUAACUCCGUUCCAGCAGCCGCGGGAAUACGGAGGAUCCGAGCGUUAUCCGGAUUUAGUGGGUUUAAAGGGCGCGUAGAUGGGUUGUUAAGUCAGUUGUGAAAGUUUGCGGCUAAACCGUAAAAUUGCAAUUGAUACUGGCAGUCUUGAGUACAGUUGAGGUAGGCGGAAUUCGUGGUGUAGCGGUGAAAUGCUUAGAUAUCACGAAGAACUCUGAUUGCGAAGGCAGCUUACUAAACUGCCACUGACAUUGAUGCUCGAAAGUGUGGGUAUCGAACAGGAUUAGAUACCCGGGUAGUC
rnacentral:rRNA from 1 species